rnacentral:lncRNA from 1 species
GAAACUCCUCACUAUGGGCUCCUCAUGUAACCGUGCCAACCAGCUGGCCCAGGUUCUGUGCAGAGUGUAUGAUAUGUGGGUCCAGAGCAUGCAGAGGAGAGUGAAUUCAGAAGAAAAAUAAAACCAAGCAAUUCAUAACGGGUCAUGGAAAGAAACUCAGACACUAACAUAUUAUUUAGUUUUUGCAAAAUCAUGCAUUAUAGACUUCCCUGACCUGUCUCCCAGUGCUACUCCCUGUGGAUGUUUCCUAGAAUCACCUCCCUAGCGUGACUUGCAUGAAACCUGCUCAGACUUUGCUUUAGGAAAGACUGAAGUAAAAAGCAGAAGCAGACUAAGACUCACAGAGAUCCAUAAUUUACUCGUUUUAAGCUUUGGUUGGCUUUACAUAUGUAUUUCCAUUCUAGAUGUUACCCAAAGUAAAAAAAAAAAAAAAAAAAAAAUGUAGCUAACAACCAAAGUAUCAUCAUUCCUUUUUUUUUUUUUUUCAGCAUAUUAGCCUCAGUUCUGCAGCCCAUCAUAGUCCUGAAUGUGAAGCCGUGAGCCAUGAAUAGGAGAGAAAACUAGCGUAAAACCUAGUUUAUUUUGCUGUUUUUCACACCUGGAUAGAGAAUGAGUCCACAUGAGUUUGAAGCUGAAUUGUCAACAUCGGAUACUUGGGGAAUUAUGGAAAAGACCUGCUUGCUUCAGGUGAAAGAGUCAUUUGAAAGAAGGAUUUUCAUCUCUCCAGAAGAUAUAUUGCACGGUGAUUUGCUGGCCAAACAAGCUGCUCUUCUCAAAGGUAAUAUCCUACAGGUUUACCUCACACAGACACUGCUCUGUUGGAACUGCCUGAUGGUAGCUUACAAAAAGUGGUGCCACCUUCCAGGAAUCCACAAGGGAAGCAGAGCAGGAAACGAGUAGAGAAGCAAGGAGCCGACUCAGCAUCAGCCUCUGAGUUGGGCAACUUAUCAGUUAUAAAAUAAAAAGACUCAAAUGUGAGAUGAGAAACGGUAUACGAUGUUCAAGGGAAUGAGAGGACACUCAAGUAAUGGGAGUUAAAUGAGAAGGAUCGAAACAAGAGGAGCUUGCAAGUGUGUCACCUAGAACUGCAGUGACUACUGACUUGUCUGCCUGAAUUACAAGUAAGAUAUAUUUAUUUUGAUCAGAUUUAAAGAUUUAUAUGUACUAGUUUGAAAUGAUUUUCCCACAAUUAUUGCUUAAUGAAAUAAUGUGUUUGAUAGAUGCUGUAUUCGAUGUAUCCUGCAUUUGAGCCUCUAAACAAAACAACGUAAUAAAUAAAUAUUGUUUAUGCUGCUCAAAUAUAUUAAUUCAUGGAAUAUAAGUAUCUGUGAUAUUAAUGGAUUCUAUAAGGGUGAUGAAUAGGACUUAUCACAGUACAAUGAAUUCUCUCCUCGCCAUUUCUUAUAUCUCUAAUCGUGCAGGGCCCUCUAAAGAUCAAAAUGGUGAGAAAAAAGGAGAGAAACAAAGAUAUUUCAGAUUUAAUUAGGGAUGAGUCUGUAUAAAGUAUUAAUUUACUCCUGCUCCUGAACUCUCCACCAGCAGUGUUGAUUUUCAACUCAAACCGAUGAUGAUUGCAAAUAAGACCCCUAAGUGUUCCUAAUUCUGCUCUUAAUAAUAGAUGACAAAGCCUUCUGUCAUUGGACAUCGAAAUUUACUUGUUUGGGGUUUUCCAAUGAUUGAAUUUUCAUAUGAGGAUAUAACUCAUAUUCCAUAAACCACAGCUGUAGGGCAGGAGCCUUUACAUCAGGCUGCACCCCAUUUACAGCAAAAGUAAAAGUCUGAAUUUCACUAAUGCGAAAGAUAGCGAACCAUACGGCUUGUGGUAUUGGGCUACAGAUCCCCUCGUCAAAAUAAAGAGUUGUAUCAAGAAAAUUGCAAUUCUUGUAAGUCUGAAAUUCAGGUUGUUUUAUUAAUAAGAAACAAUUGCAGUUGGUGUAUCUUUAGUUAGAAAGUCCACAACAAAAUUAAGGUAAAAUAAACUAUCAAGUCAGCCAAAAAUUAGUAUUAAGGCGCGUAGUUAAGAAGAUGAUAAUGUGAAAUGGUUAUAUCUUUAUAAGAGAAUGAAUAGGGCUUAGAAACGCUAUUUUAUGGAGUUAGAAACACUCCAUAAAUAUGUAUUACUGAUCUAAAUAUUUAGGCAAAAUUGAUGAAUAGUUUAUCUAAAUUUUCUCAUUAAAAAUGCUUUGUUUUGCUACCAUAGUGGUUGGUAAAGCACUCUAUUAUUUUCUUUGAAUCUGAUCCCUGUAGUACUAUCUAUGUUUUGGUGUGGAAUCUGAUUUAAAUGUAUGCUCAAUUUCUUUGUUCCCAAAUAUCAGUUCUAUGCCGAACGCUUUCACAAUUGUUCAAACUUCAUAUUACCUCGGCCUUAAUUUAUUUUCUUUAUAUCCACUUAUUAGUCUAUGUAAUAUGUUUUGUUUAAAAGGCAAUAAUAUCAUGGCAAAAAGAAAACCGG